rnacentral:tRNA from 1 species
GGGCGAGUGGCGGAAUUGGCAGACGCGCCAGACUUAGGAUCUGGUUCCUUCCGGAGUGGGGGUUCGAGUCCCCCCUCGCCCACCA